rnacentral:rRNA from 1 species
UAGCAUAUCAAUAAGCGGAGGAAAAGAAACUAACAAGGAUUCCCCUAGUAACUGCGAGUGAAGCGGGAAAAGCUCAAAUUUAGAAAUCUGGUAGUCUUUGGCUGCCCGAGUUGUAAUCUAGAGAAGCGUCUUCCGCGCUGGACCGUGUACAAGUCUUUUGGAAUAAAGCAUCAUAGAGGGUGAGAAUCCCGUCUUUGACACGGACUACCAGUGCUUUGUGAUGCGCUCUCAAAGAGUCGAGUUGUUUGGGAAUGCAGCUCAAAAUGGGUGGUAAAUUCCAUCUAAAGCUAAAUAUUGGCGAGAGACCGAUAGCGAACAAGUACCGUGAGGGAAAGAUGAAAAGCACUUUGGAAAGAGAGUUAAACAGUACGUGAAAUUGUUGAAAGGGAAACGCUUGAAGUCAGUCGCGUUGUUCAGAACUCAGCCUGGCUCCCGCUUGGUGUAUUUUCUGUUGAACGGGCCAGCAUCAAUUUUGACCAUUGGAAAAAGGCCAGAGGAAUGUGGCAUCUUCGGGUGUGUUAUAGCCUCUGGUUGCAUACAAUGGUUGGGAUUGAGGAUCUCAGCAUGCCUUUUGGCCGGGGUUCGCCCACGUUCAUGCUUAGGAUGCUGGCGUAAUGGCUUUAAACGACCCGUCUUGAAACACGGACCAAGGAGUCUAACAUGCCUGCGAGUGUUUGGGUGGAAAACCCGAGCGCGUAAUGAAAGUGAAAGUUGGGAUCCCUGUCGUGGGGAGCACCGACGCCCGGACUUGAACUUCUGUGACGGAUCCGCGGUAGAGCAUGUAUGUUGGGACCCGAAAGAUGGUGAACUAUGCCUGAAUAGGGUGAAGCCAGAGGAAACUCUGGUGGAGGCUCGUAGCGAUUCUGACGUGCAAAUCGAUCGUCAAAUUUGGGUAUAGGGGCGAAAGACUAAUCGAACCAUCUAGUAGCUGGUUCCUGCGA